CACUAUUCAAAGUAGAUUCACUUGUUGACAAAGUAAAACAGGUCUGCCGUGGCACUAGUAUGAUGUUCACAUGCGACACGACUUUUGGCUGCGGGGUUCUGCACAUGAAUUCCAGCUCGAUAUUGUGGAUGCCUCAUCUUUCAACUAUCACAGUGAAGGUGGAUCGGCCGGGGCUUUGGCUCUAUCAAGGACUCUGGGACCCUCUGCUUGUUCCUGUUAGAGAAGGUUUCUCUAAUUUUGAGUCAAGCUUGUACCUGGAGAUGCAUUUGGAGAUGAUAAGGGUGUUCGUAUCUCCUAUGUUGCUGCACUGUCAACGAUACAAGAUGCAAUGGAGAAGAUCAAAGCAGCAACGGCUCUGCUCAAGGCAGGAGUUGCGGUUUAACAAAGGCAGUGUCGACCAAAGGCAUUUUCACUAGCAAUGCCUUGUUAUAUUAAAUGGUGGUUAUUGUAAAGUAGUUAAACAUGUCAUUGUUGUGUAAAAGACAAACGCUCCUGGUUUCUUAGUGAAAAGUAGUUAAACAUAUCAUUCUUGUAUAAAGAGAAGGACUCUGGACCUAUGUUUGCUUGAUUGAAAUUCUAUAGUUUUCAUUUGGGUUUUGUUGUUGUUUCAAA